rnacentral:rRNA from 1 species
UACAGAGGUCCCGAGCGUUGUUCGGAUUCACUGGGCGUAAAGCGUGCGCAGGCGGUUUGCUAAGACAGGUGUGAAAUCUCCGGGCUUAACCUGGGAACUGCGCUUGUAACUGGCAAGCUUGAGUGUGGCAGAGGGGGGUGGAAUUCCACGUGUAGCAGUGAAAUGCGUAGAGAUGUGGAGGAACACCGAUGGCGAAGGCAGCCCCCUGGGCUAACACUGACGCUCAUGCACGAAAGCGUGGGGAGCAAACAGG